AGCUUGCCUGGAGCCCGGAGAUCUCGAGGUGGCAGUUCCUAACAGGGUGACCCUCGGGCAGACCAUGACUGCCAGCUCUGUCUCCUCUGAAAUUCACCUGUUUGGGUUCUAAGGGCUGCAUGCACAUUCUACGGACCUGGGACUGAAACUGUGCUGUCAGGAAAGAGAAGACAUAACUGGGAGAGGCUGCCAAUUCUUAUCUCCUGAGCCUUAGACUGAAGGGUUUUGGAUCAAGGUGCCCACGAACUCUAGGAACAAAGUUCUUCAGUCUGCAGUACCAAGUCUGGAAAAACACACUGAAACCAAAUGGGAAUGGCAACAGAAGAAUGUGGCGCACGAUGACAGCUCUAGGAGAGCGUGAGUAAAGCAGAAAAGCAUCGUUAAGGGGGGAGUCCCACAGAGGGAGGGACUAAGUCCUCGGAAGACCUGCUUUCUGUAGACUUUAACUCUCAGUGAGGGCAGACCAGCCACAGAAGCUCCUGGCCGCAGGUGAGAAACGCAGCCUCGGAAUCCGCGUUUUAACAAGGUGCCCAGGGGAUCUGCUCUACAGGGGAGCGGGCCCAAGCCCCACUGCCUCGCAGGCAUCUGAACUUCAGAAACAAGCAGAGGUUGGGUCCCUAUUCCAGUCAAGCGAGUCCAUCGGAACGUUUCUGGAGGUUUCACAAUUGCUGAGGGUGAUUGUGAUGCGCGCCCUGGUGGACAGCUGCUGCUCCAGGACAAAUGAAGAUCUAGUCUCAAAAGACAAAAGCUAUUCAUGCUGAUACGAUACGUAUAUUUGGGAGAAAAUACAGUUAAUAGGGAGUGGCCAGGAAUU